GACGAACGCUGGCGGCGUGCUUAACACAUGCAAGUCGAACGGAAAGGCCCUGCUUUUGUGCGGUGCUCGAGUGGCGAACGGGUGCGUAACACGUGAGUAACCUGCCCUUGACUUUGGGAUAACUUCAGGAAACUGGGGCUAAUAUCGGAUAGGAUCUCCUGCUGCAUGGUGGGCGUUGGAAAGUCUCGGCGGGUGGGGAUGGACUGGCGGGUUAUCAGCUUGUUGGUGGGGUAGUGGCUGACCAAGGCUUUGACGGGUCGCCGGCAUGGGAGGGUGACCGGCGACAUGGGGACUGCGGGAGGGCGCAGAGGGCUACAGGAGGCAGUAGGGGGGAGCAUGGCCCAGCGGGCGGAAGCGUGAGGCGGCAACGCCGGGGUCGGGAAGACGGCCUUUGGGGUGUGAACAGCUGUCGCCUGAGACGAAGCGGUAGUGACGGUAAUGGGUAAAGAAGCACCGGCUAACUACGUG
rnacentral:rRNA from 1 species